UAAUAUUUCUAGUAUGUAAGGGCUC
rnacentral:piRNA from 1 species